rnacentral:rRNA from 1 species
GAUGAACGCUGGCGGCGUGCCUAAUACAUGCAAGUCGAGCGAACAGACGAGGAGCUUGCUCCUCUGACGUUAGCGGCGGACGGGUGAGUAACACGUGGAUAACCUACCUAUAAGACUUGGAUAACUUCGGGAAACCGGAGCUCAUACCGGAUAAUAUAUUGAACCGCAUGGUUCAAUAGUGAAAGACGGUUUUGCUGUCACUUAUACAUGGAUCCGCGCUGCAUUAGCUAGUUGGUAAGGUAACGGCUUACCAAGGCAACGAUGCGUAGCCGACCUGAGAGGGUGAUCGGCCACACUGGAACUGAGACACGGUCCAGACUCCUACGGGAGGCAGCAGUAGGGAAUCUUCCGCAAAGGGCGAAAGCCUUACGGAGCAACGCCGCGUGAGUGAUGAAGGUCUUCGGAUCGUAAAACUCUGUUAUUAGGGAAGAACAAAUGUGUAAGUAACUAUGCACGUCUUGACGGUACCUAAUCAGAAAGCCACGGCUAACUACGUG